AAAGAGAGAGACACAUGCUGGACACAAGCAUGUUCUGUGGCAAUUAAAAAAAAAAAAAAGACGAGUUGGGCUGAAGACCAGAGGAGCGAUCACCUGUAACACUGUCUAAACUUAGAGGAAGGAGCUCAGACAGAUACAAGGAAGCUGAGAAGGCUUCAUGGAGUCAGCGACUCAGGUUGGACCUUGAAGACACAAUGUGAGACUUGAAAAGAGGCCUUGUGGAAGUGGACAUUCUCAGUGGGGAUAUUUACUUAAGCUUAAAAUAUGUACUGAUGGAAAGGAAAACCUGACAUAAACAGCAGAAAGGUGGGCCUCGGGUCCAUGCGGAGGAAAGACCGAAGCUCAGGGAGCAGUUACAGGUCACAGAGGAUGCUGCUAGGAGACGGUCACAAUUGCUGAAGCCAGUAGAGAUUUUCUCCUAAUGUUUAGCUCUCCUUCGCAUAUGAAAUUCUUUGCAUUUCAUGGUGUGAGGAAUGGACCCACGCCAAUCCUCUUCCCCGUAAUGAUGCUUACUGAAUCAUGAUUUCUAGUUGUGUGACUUGGGCAAAUGGUUUAACCUCUCUGAGAACAGCUUUCAGUGUCUGGAAGAACAGGACUGAUAAUGACACCUCCCAGACAGCCUUGUCCUGAGGACGGGAAGAGGCGACACAUGAAGAGCCCCUAGUCCGUUGCAUGCCCGGCAGGUACGUGUCUAAGAAAUAAUUUUUUCCUUCUUAUCUCUUUCCUUUUUAUCUGCAUCAACCUAUUUUUUUUUUACCUAGAACUCUUUUAUGUACCAUUGAAACCAAGCUUUACUGGAAUGUUCCAGAGGUUGUCUAUCCCAGUUUUAUAUUAGGAAGCUAUUAAGCUGCAAAGUCAAAAGAGGAGAAGAGCGGGGAGGCACUCUCCUUGAAAGGACCCGGCCUCAGGGCACAUGUGCUCCUUGCUUGCACGCUUGCAGGUGAUUCUGCUGUGACUGCAGCCCCCUGAGUUCUCUCAGGUCAGAGAAUGUUCUCAGAGGCUCUUCUAAAUUCUCC